AGAGUUUGAUCCUGGCUCAGAAUCAACGCUGGCGGCGUGCCUAACACAUGCAAGUCGCACGAGAAAGGGUAGCAAUACCUGAGUACAGUGGCGCACGGGUGAGUAACACGUGAAUAAUCUACCUCCGAGUGGGGAAUAACUUAGGGAAACCUGAGCUAAUACCGCAUAACACUUACGAGUCAAAGCAGCAAUGCGCUUGGAGAGGAGUUCGCGGCAGAUUAGCUAGUUGGCGGGGUAAUGGCCCACCAAGGCGAUGAUCUGUAUCCGGCCUGAGAGGGCGCACGGACACACUGGAACUGAAACACGGUCCAGACUCCUACGGGAGGCAGCAGUGGGGAAUUUUGCGCAAUGGGGGAAACCCUGACGCAGCAACGCCGCGUGGAGGAUGAAAUCCCUUGGGAUGUAAACUCCUUUCGAUCGGGACGAUUA
rnacentral:rRNA from 1 species